ensembl:misc_RNA Metazoa_SRP Metazoan signal recognition particle RNA
GCUGGGUGAGGUGGUGCAUGCCUGUAGUCCCAGCUACUUGGAAGGCCCAGGAGUUCUGGGCUGUAGUGCACUAUGCCAACUGGGUGUCCGCACUAAGUUCAGCAUCAAUAUGGAGACCUCCCAGGGCGGAGGACCACCAGGUUGUCUAAGGAGGGGUGAACCAGCCCAGGUUGGAAACGGAGCAAGUCAAAACUCCCAUGCUGAUCAGUAGUGGGAUCACGCCUGUCAAUAGCCACUGCACUCCAGCCUGGGUG